CCCGCCGGACCUGACUGCUAUCGGAUUGAUACUAAGCCAUGCGAGUCAUUGUAGCAAUGCAAGGCAGACGGCUCAGUAACGCGUAGUCAACCUAACCUAUGGACGGGAAUAACCUCGGGAAACUGAGAAUAAUGCCCGAUAGAACACUAUGCCUGGAAUGGUUUGUGUUCCAAAUGAUUUAUCGCCGUAGGAUGGGACUGCGGCUUAUCAGUUUGUUGGUGAGGUAAUGGCCCACCAAGACUAUUACAGGUACGAGCUCUGAGAGGAGUGGCCCGGAGAUGGGUACUGAGACACGGACCCAGGCCCUAUGGGGCGCAGCAGGCGAGAAAACUUUGCAAUGUGCGAAAGCACGACAAGGUUAAUCCGAGUGGUUUCUGCUAAAGGAACCUUUUGUCGGUCCUAGAAACACCGAUGAAUAAGGGGUGGGCAAGUUCUGGUGUCAGCCGCCGCGGUAAAACCAGCACCUCAAGUGGUCAGGAUGAUUAUUGGGCCUAAAGCAUCCGUAGCCUGCUUUGUUAGUUUUCGGUUAAAUCUGUACGCUCAACGUACAGGCUGCCGGGAAUACUGCAAAGCUAGGGAGUGGGAGAGGUAGACGGUACUCGGUAGGAAGGGGUAAAAUCCUUUGAUCUAUUGAUGACCACCUGUGGCGAAGGCGGUCUACCAGAACACGUCCGACGGUGAGGGAUGAAAGCUGGGGGAGCAAACCGGAUUAGAUACCCGGGUAGUCCCAGCUGUAAACCAUGCAAACUCAGUGAUGCAUUGGCUUGUGGCCAAUGCAGUGCUGCAGGGAAGCCGUUAAGUUUGCCGCCUGGGAAGUACGUACGCAAGUAUGAAACUUAAAGGAAUUGGCGGGGGAGCACCACAA
rnacentral:rRNA from 1 species